GAUGAACGCUGGCGGCGUGCCUAAUACAUGCAAGUCGAGCGAACGGACGAGAAGCUUGCUUCUCUGAUGUUAGCGGCGGACGGGUGAGUAACACGUGGAUAACCUACCUAUAAGACUGGGAUAACUUCGGGAAACCGGAGCUAAUACCGGAUAAUAUUUUGAACCGCAUGGUUCAAAAGUGAAAGACGGUCUUGCUGUCACUUAUAGAUGGAUCCGCGCUGCAUUAGCUAGUUGGUAAGGUAACGGCUUACCAAGGCAACGAUGCAUAGCCGACCUGAGAGGGUGAUCGGCCACACUGGAACUGAGACACGGUCCAGACUCCUACGGGAGGCAGCAGUAGGGAAUCUUCCGCAAUGGGCGAAAGCCUGACGGAGCAAUGCCGCGUGAGUGAUGAAGGUCUUCGGAUCGUAAAACUCUGUUAUUAGGGAAGAACAUAUGUGUAAGUAACUGUGCACAUCUUGACGGUACCUAAUCAGAAAGCCACGGCUAACUACGUGCCAGCAGCCGCGGUAAUACGUAGGUGGCAAGCGUUAUCCGGAAUUAUUGGGCGUAAAGCGCGCGUAGGCGGUUUUUUAAGUCUGAUGUGAAAGCCCACGGCUCAACCGUGGAGGGUCAUUGGAAACUGGAAAACUUGAGUGCAGAAGAGGAAAGUGGAAUUCCAUGUGUAGCGGUGAAAUGCGCAGAGAUAUGGAGGAACACCAGUGGCGAAGGCGACUUUCUGGUCUGUAACUGACGCUGAUGUGCGAAAGCGUGGGGAUCAAACAGGAUUAGAUACCCUGGUAGUCCACGCCGUAAACGAUGAGUGCUAAGUGUUAGGGGGUUUCCGCCCCUUAGUGCUGCAGCUAACGCAUUAAGCACUCAGCCUGGGGAGUACGACCGCAAGGUUGAAACUCAAAGGAAUUGACGGGGACCCGCACAAGCGGUGGAGCAUGUGGUUUAAUUCGAAGCAACGCGAAGAACCUUACCAAAUCUUGACAUCCUUUGACAACUCUAGAGAUAGAGCCUUCCCCUUCGGGGGACAAAGUGACAGGUGGUGCAUGGUUGUCGUCAGCUCGUGUCGUGAGAUGUUGGGUUAAGUCCCGCAACGAGCGCAACCCUUAAGCUUAGUUGCCAUCAUUAAGUUGGGCACUCUAAGUUGACUGCCGGUGACAAACCGGAGGAAGGUGGGGAUGACGUCAAAUCAUCAUGCCCCUUAUGAUUUGGGCUACACACGUGCUACAAUGGACAAUACAAAGGGCAGCGAAACCGCGAGGUCAAGCAAAUCCCAUAAAGUUGUUCUCAGUUCGGAUUGUAGUCUGCAACUCGACUACAUGAAGCUGGAAUCGCUAGUAAUCGUAGAUCAGCAUGCUACGGUGAAUACGUUCCCGGGUCU
rnacentral:rRNA from 1 species